GCCCUGGUGGCAUAGUGGUUAAGAGUUUGGCUGCUAACCAAAAGGUCGGCAGUUCAAAUCCACUGGGGUA
rnacentral:tRNA from 1 species